rnacentral:rRNA from 1 species
AGAUUGAACGCUGGCGGCAGGCCUAACACAUGCAAGUCGAGCGGCAGCACGGGUACUUGUACCUGGUGGCGAGCGGCGGACGGGUGAGUAAUGCCUAGGAAUCUGCCUGAUAGUGGGGGAUAACGUUCGGAAACGGACGCUAAUACCGCAUACGUCCUACGGGAGAAAGUGGGGGAUCUUCGGACCUCACGCUAUCAGAUGAGCCUAGGUCGGAUUAGCUAGUUGGUAGGUAAA